ensembl:snoRNA F19G12.14 ncRNA
AUUCUUCUUGGGAGGACACUGGUAGUAACACCAGCCAGUGUCCUUUUCUCAAUAAACGUUAUAUUAAUAUAAACAACGUUUUCUACAAUAAUUAACACGAGACUGUGGCACCAGUCGUCGAUCCGUUAAUAAUACCGAAUUUUGUAUCAAAAGUAAAAUAUUUGGGUGACACCAAAAUUAUUACAAUUGAAUUGACAACCCGUCAUAAUCAUCUGACUAAAUAGUCGAUUUACCUACUUGGAAAAGAGAAAUUUUGCAAAAAAAUGAGCAAAAGGUGUUGUGAGUUUACAUUAGCCGCCUUAAAAAAUUUGGAAAAAAUUGUUAU